UUCAUUCAACCACUAUCCAUGACCCGAAAACCUCAUCUUCCUUCCCCUGGACACUUCUGACCGACGACACCUCCUUCUCCCUUGGUUGAUCCAAAUUACUGACAGAGUGAGGACAUAUAUUCUUCAAAUGAUCGUACCUUCCAUAACCAAAACAAAUCAAAGGUAAGGCCUCAUAUUCGACACGUAUAAAUCUAUUUACCAUAAUAUUUGGGAUUAGAGGUUUAUUAAGGUUAAUGUAAACCACCAUUCGAGCAAAUCUUCCUAUCGAUCUACUGUCUGUGUUAUAGUCUAGUUUUGCCACUUGACCGAUCAAACCUCUAAUCUCUUUUAAAAUUUUCCUCUUAUACAUGAAAUCUGAAAGGCUAGCUAAUCUAACCCAUGUCAUGAAAACAUUAGGAAACGGUUGUGAGAGAUUAAAGUUCGAAGUCCAUGGUUGUACGAUAAAAUACUAUUCGAAUACGACCCAUGUCCUUUGGGUAAACACCUUUUCAAAAUCCUUAUUGCUUUGAAAUUUCACCAGGAAAUAUCCAUGUUCAACAUCCAUUAGUUUGAAAGGCAUGGCCGAGCGCCAUAGGUUGUAGAUCUUAUUUUGAAAGGUAUUGUUGCUGAUAUUUCUUCCCAAUAGUUUAACCACCACUGUGGUAUCC
rnacentral:lncRNA from 1 species